AUGGCUUCCUCAACGGCUUUCCUCCUCCUCCUCGUCGCUGCCUUGCACGUGUGUUGCUGCCGCGGGCAAGGUGGCCACGCCGGCACCGGCGUGGCGGCGAUCUACAGCCUGGGCGACUCCAUCACGGAUACGGGGAACCUGGUGAAGGAGGCGCCGCCCGGCGCCUUCGAGACCAUCAAGCACCUCCCCUACGGCCUCACCUUCGGCCGCCCCACCGGCCGAUGCUCCGACGGCCUCCUCAUGAUCGACUUCCUCGCUCAGGACAUGGGCCUCCCGUUCCUCAACCCUUACCUGGCCAUGAACAGGAGCUUCGACCACGGAGCCAACUUCGCCGUCGCUGGAGCCACCGCCAUGGACCCCGCCGACCAGUUCAACAGGAGAUUCUCCAUGCCUUUCACCGCAAAUUCCCUCAAGCUGCAGCUCCGGUGGUUCAAGGACUUCAUGAAGUCCACCUUCAACACCGACGAAGAAAUUCGCAAAAGGCUCCAAUCUUCUCUGGUUUUGGUCGGGGAGAUCGGUGGAAACGACUACAACUUCGCCUUGUUCGGGAAUAAGAAUGUCAGCGAGGUGGAGAAACUCAUCCCAGCCGUCGUUCAAACCAUCAUCGACGCCACCAAGGAAGUGCUGGACAUGGGCGCUAGCAGAGUCAUCGUCCCGGGCAACUUCCCCAUCGGCUGCCUCCCGAGCUACCUCACCGCGAUGGCCGAGCCGGAGACGUCGGCCUACGACUCCGCAGGCUGCCUCAAGGACCUCAACCUCUUCGCCGCCAAGCACAACGCGCAGCUCCAGCGAGCCGUCGCCGGUCUCCGGGCGUCGUACCCCGACGCGGCCAUCGCCUACGCGGACUACUUCAACUCCUUCCUCAGCCUCCUCAAGGGCGCCCCGGCUCUCGGUUUCGACGAGGAUAGCACGCACAAGGCGUGCUGUGGCGCCGGCGGCAAGUACAACUACGACGUGAGGCGGGCGUGCGGCGUGGAGGGGGCGGCGGUGUGUGCGGACCCGUCGGCGUACGUGAGCUGGGACGGCAUCCACAUGACCCAGGCGGCGUACAAGGCCAUGUCCAGGCUCAUCUACCACGGGAGGUACCUGCAGCCGCAGAUACUCAGCUUCCCGGAGAACAAUGGGCAGACAUGA
rnacentral:rRNA from 1 species